AGUCGAACGUGAAAGCACUUCGGUGUGAGUAGAGUGGCGGACGGGUGAGUAACGCGUGGGAAUCUGCCCAGUAGUGGGGGACAACUACCGGAAACGGUAGCUAAUACCGCAUACGCCCUAUGGGGGAAAGGCUUCGGCCGCUAUUGGAUGAGCCCGCGUCAGAUUAGCUAGUUGGUAGGGUAAAGGCCUACCAAGGCAACGAUCUGUAGCUGGUCUGAGAGGACGAACAGCCACACUGGGACUGAGACACGGCCCAGACUCCUACGGGAGGCAGCAGUGGGGAAUAUUGGACAAUGGGCGAAAGCCUGAUCCAGCAAUGCCGCGUGUGUGAAGAAGGCCUGCGGGUUGUAAAGCACUUUCAGGUGGGAAGAUGAUGACGUUACCAACAGAAGAAGCACCGGCUAAAUCCGUGCCAGCAGCCGCGGUAAUACGGAUGGUGCGAGCGUUAAUCGGAAUUACUGGGCGUAAAGCGCGCGUAGGCGGCUAAGUCAGUCAGAAGUGAAAGCCCCGGGCUCAACCUGGGAAUUGCUUUUGAUACUGCUAGGCUAGAGUUUGGUAGAGGAUAGUGGAAUUCCAGGUGUAGCGGUGAAAUGCGUAGAUAUCUGGAGGAACAUCAGUGGCGAAGGCGACUGUCUGGACCAAAACUGACGCUGAGGUGCGAAAGCGUGGGUAGCAAACAGGAUUAGAUACCCUGGUAGUCCACGCCGUAAACGAUGUCAACUAGCCGUCGGGGAUUUUAUUCUUAGUGGCGCAGCUAACGCGAUAAGUAGACCGCCUGGGGAGUACGGCCGCAAGGUUAAAACUC
rnacentral:rRNA from 1 species